GCAGACACAUUCCAGCCAAUCAGCAGCAGACCCUCCCUCCCAGACCCUCCCACCUCCUGGACAGCAUUCAUUUUACAUUCAUUGUGAAGCUGCAUUCUUAGUGAGCUGUCCAGGAGGUGGGAGGGUCUGGGAGGGAGGGUCUGCUGCUGAUUGGUUGGAAUGUGUCUG
rnacentral:miRNA from 1 species